rnacentral:rRNA from 1 species
UAGAGUUUGAUCCUGGCUCAGGAUGAACGCUAGCGACAGGCUUAACACAUGCAAGUCGAGGGGCAGCGGUGGUGAAGGCUUGCCUUUACCAGCCGGCGACCGGCGCACGGGUGAGUAACACGUAUGCAACCUGCCUGCCACAGCCGGAUAAUCGGGAGAAAUUCCGUCUAAUACGGCAUAAUGCACCUAUGGGACAUCCUGUUGGUGCCAAAGGUUGAUUCCGGUGGCGGAUGGGCAUGCGUCGCAUUAGUUAGUUGGCGGUGUAACGGACCACCAAGACGACGAUGCGUAGGGGUUCUGAGAGGAAGGUCCUCCACACUGGUACUGAGACACGGACCAGACUCCUACGGGAGGCAGCAGUGAGGAAUAUUGGUCAAUGGGCGGGAGCCUGAACCAGCCAAGUCGCGUGAGGGAUGACGGCCCUAUGGGUUGUAAACCUCUUUUGCCGGGGAGCAAAGUGCCGCACGUGUGCGGUUUGGAGAGUACCCGGAGAAAAAGCAUCGGCUAACUCCGUGCCAGCAGCCGCGGUAAUACGGAGGAUGCGAGCGUUAUCCGGAUUUAUUGGGUUUAAAGGGUGCGUAGGCGGACGCUUAAGUCAGCGGUAAAAUUGCGGGGCUCAACCUCGUCGAGCCGUUGAAACUGGGUGCCUUGAGUGGGCGAGAAGUACGCGGAAUGCGUGGUGUAGCGGUGAAAUGCAUAGAUAUCACGCAGAACUCCGAUUGCGAAGGCAGCGUACCGGCGCCCAACUGACGCUGAAGCACGAAGGCGUGGGUAUCGAACAGGAUUAGAUACCCUGGUAGUCCACGCAGUAAACGAUGAAUGCUAGUUGUCCGGGGCGAUUGAGUUCUGGGUGACACAGCGAAAGCGUUAAGCAUUCCACCUGGGGAGUACGCCGGCAACGGUGAAACUCAAAGGAAUUGACGGGGGCCCGCACAAGCGGAGGAACAUGUGGUUUAAUUCGAUGAUACGCGAGGAACCUUACCCGGGCUCAAACGCAGGAGGGAUGUUUUUGAAAGGAGGCAGCCAGCAAUGGUCUCCUGCGAGGUGCUGCAUGGUUGUCGUCAGCUCGUGCCGUGAGGUGUCGGCUUAAGUGCCAUAACGAGCGCAACCCCUACCUACAGUUGCCAUCGCGUGAUGGCGGGCACUCUGUGGGGACUGCCUGCGCAAGCAGUGAGGAAGGCGGGGAUGACGUCAAAUCAGCACGGCCCUUACGUCCGGGGCGACACACGUGUUACAAUGGCAGGUACAGCGGGAAGCCACCCGGCGACGGGGCGCGGAACCCGAAAACCUGUCUCAGUUCGGAUUGGAGUCUGCAACCCGACUCCAUGAAGCUGGAUUCGCUAGUAAUCGCGCAUCAGCCACGGCGCGGUGAAUACGUUCCCGGGCCUUGCACUCACCGCCCGUCAAG